rnacentral:rRNA from 1 species
AUACGGAGGGUGCAAGCGUUAAUCGGAAUUACUGGGCGUAAAGAGUACGUAGGUGGUUUGUUAAGUCAGAUGUGAAAGCCCAGGGCUCAACCUUGGAAUUGCAUUUGAAACUGGCAAACUAGAGUAUGGUAGAGGGGGGUAGAAUUCAUAGUGUAGCGGUGAAAUGCGUAGAUAUUAUGAGGAAUACCAGUGGCGAAGGCGGCCCCCUGGACCAAUACUGACACUGAGGUACGAAAGCGUGGGUAGCGAACAGGAUUAGAAACCCUAGUAGUCC